rnacentral:rRNA from 1 species
GACGAACGCUGGCGGCGUGCUUAACACAUGCAAGUCGAACGGAGUGGCGAACGCGUGAGUAACACGUGGGUGUCCCGCACUGAACUUAGGGAUAUGCCUGGGAAACUGGGUCUAAUACCGGAUAGUGUGGGAUGGGCCCGCGGCCUAUCAGUUUGUUGGUGGGGUAAGGGCCUACCAAGGCGGCGACGGGUAGCCGGCCUGAGAGGGGGGACGGCCACAUGGGGACUGAGGCACGGCGCAGACUCCUACGGGAGGCAGCGGUGGGAAAUAUUGCACAAUGAGCGGAAGCAUGAUGCAUCGACGCCGCGUGGGGGAUGCCGGCCUUCGGGUUGUAAACUCCUUUCUCCGUCGACGCGGUAGAUGGAGAAGAAGCACCGGCUAACUACGUGCCAGCAGCCGCGGUAAUAC